GGGUGGGGGGGGAGGCCGGGGGGGGGGGGUGGGCGGCGGCGGUCGCUGUCGGGAGCGGCGCCCCCCGCGUGCAGGUCGCCGGGGCUGGACAGCCGCCGCCGCCGAGCCUCCGGCAUCCCCGCCAAACAAUUUCUCGCGAUGAAACGAAAGCGAAAAGACCUGAAUCUACAAAAGGAACCGGGACCACUUGGAACAAAACCCACGAGCGCUCGACUCCUCGGUGCUCCUCGGGGAACACGGCAACAGAAAAUACCACGGGACACUCCGCCGCCCCCCCCAUUGCCGGACAUCUGUGGGUGAAAAGAGCUUCGUAGGUCAUCGGAUUUCUCAAAAAGGAUUCCGCGUGAUUGCACAAA